UGAAAAUUGAAAUUUAAGAAGGGAAAAAAGAGGGGAGUUGUUUUCGAACACAUACAGACCCAUUACUUUGGUUUGGACGGAAAUCAUUUUGCCAAACAGAACAGAAAUGCGCGUUUGAAGACAAAGAUAUAGUUACUUGGAGUGCACUAAUCGCUUGCUACGAGCAGAAUGAGAUUUCUGAGUAGGUAUAACAUUGGUUGGAAUGCAUAAAUCUAGAGUUGUGGUGGAUGAGAUUGUAGCAGUUAGUGCUCGAAAUGUUUGUACAAAUUUACUGAUUAUUAAUGUGUGGGGAAAUUGAUUCAUAAUUUGGCUUCAAAUUUGUAAUUGAUUCUUAUAUUAACCUUCGAUUUUUCUCUUUGAUUCAUAUCUAUUAAAGAAUAAGGAGAUGUAAUGGAGGAGGGGUGACUAUUUGAUGAAGCUCACUUUCUAGACCAAAUAUGUUUGAACUCUUUGAUCUCUGGGUAAUUAAAAUGUGAUUCAGUUGAAAAUACCAAACCCUUAUUUAGUUCUAUGUCCUAAAAAUUUGUUGUGUUUUGGACUUUUCUGAUAUCGGGAUAUGCCUGAAAUGGCCAUUCUUACUAGACUUCACCUUUUUGAAGAAAUGCACAUAAAUGGCCUAAAGCCGAGUGAGACCAUUUUAGCAAGUGUAGUAUCUGUGUGUGCUUGGUUGGCUACUCUUGAACAGGGGAAUUACUAUAUAAGAAGAGUUUUCUUACUCUUAAUGUCAUGCUAGGGGUUGGUAGAAAGGUACAUUUUCUCAUAUUAGAAGAUGUCAAAUGAUAUAACAUUUGUGGAGCAGUUGGCUUGUCUAUGAUUUAUGAUCACAAGAUAAAAUCCAAUAUCAAGCAAUAUGCAUGCAUGAUUGAUCUUUUAGGACCUGUUCGUAAGCUUCAAGAAGCAGAGGAAACUUCUCAACCAUAUUCUCUGUUGCUCUCAAUGUCGGUACACUUGUGGCAAUGAGAAAAUGAUGAUAGUGAAAUUGGAAGAACAGUGGGAAGGAAGUCGAUUGAGCUUCAACCUAACCAUGAUGGGAUGAUGUGCUUGAGAUUAGGGGCAUGAUGAAAAAUUUUCAUGAAUUAUUUGCAUGAGAUAAUACACACCCUAACAUGGAUGCAAUUUAAGUCUUCUUAGAUCAAUUGGCUAUGAAGUUAAAGUUGGAAGGUUAAUCACCAGACACAAAUGAAGUGUUACUGGAUGUCAAUGAAGAAGAGAAGGAAAUCACUUUGUUUAGACAUAAGGAAAAGCUAGUUAUUGCAUUUGGGGUUAUUAUUUUAGUCCAGCAAUAGCAAUCAGAACAGUGAAAACACCCUUUGAACAUGCAAUGACUGUCACACAAUGCAAAAUUUAUCUCCUAGGCUUUUUGCCAUCAAAUUGUAUUGAGGGAUCAACAUUGUUGUCAUCACUUUAAAGGAGUUUUGUUCAUGCAAGAAUUAUUGGUAACUGAUAUGAUAACUGAAUAACUUAGUUCUAAGAGUUUAUUAUGGUAGCAGAGCACUUUAGACAGAACCAAGGCAUUAUUUAUCAAACUUCUUGUCCUUAUACCCCUUCAAUAAAAUGGUGCUGCAGAGUAAAGACAUCGUCAUCUAACUGAAAUGGCCAUCACUUUACUAUCUCAUGCUUCCUUACCUCUAAAAUUUUGAUACCAUGCCUUUUCCACUGCUACUACUUACCUAAUAAAUAGACCUCCUUCUUCCAAAUUGAAUAAUAUAUCUCCGUAUGAAAAACUUUUCAACUCUUCUUCUUACAUUAAUCACCUAAAAACCUUUGGUUAAUCUUGUUAUCCUCUCCUCAAACCUUACCAAUGACCAUAAACUUCAACCCAAAACUUCUCAAUUUGUCUUCCUUGGAGAUACCCAAACAACCAAAGGUUAUGUUUCUUACAAUCCUGAGACUGACAAACUCAUUACAAUGAGACAUGUCAUUGUUUAUGAAGAUACAUUUCCUUUUGUCAGCAAAACUAUCAAUUCCAAGACUUCCAUUACUUCUACUGUUGAAAAUAAUUCUUCCAAGUCUUCAAAUUCUAUUUUACCUCUUCUUGCCAUGGCUGGUGAGUUUACUGCCUCACAAAGACAGGGGACUUGGGAUUUAGUUCCCUUACCAACUGGCAAAAAUAUUACUGGAAAUAAAUGGGUGUUUCGUGUUAAACGCAAUCUAGAUGGAUCCAUUACCAGAUACCUUUGCAAUUCAUCUUUUGAGGUUAAUAAAAUUCCUCAAAGUUAAUCUCAUUUCACAUACCCUUCAGAAAAAGUGGUAUUAGAACUGAUCAGGUGUGGUGGCUGUCCGGGAAGAAUUGUUAGGAGUCCAUGUUGAUGGCAAUGGAUAGGGAGCUAGUGUAUUGAUAAUUGAUAUUGAUGGAGAAAUUGAGCAUUGUCGCAACUAAAAGAUUAUCUCACUUGUUAAGAAUGCCAUUUUUUUUUUUUUUUUUUUGUGCGAAGGUGGAAGUUGCUCUCUGAAGGCAUCAUAAUAAUAAGGUAAUGGUAUGUACUGAUUGCAUUGUGGUAAAAUCAUAAGAAAGACUUUGCUAUUUAUGCCUUUAAAUUUUUGUUUGCUGUUAGAUGUUCUCUUCCCGCCUCACUUUAAAUAAUCACAUUGCUAAUUGGAAUUUAUUUUCGUAUAAGUUCUAUCUCACCAAUAAAUCUCGUUAGAAAAUUAGAGUUGAUAAGAGAGGAAAGUUUGGAAAUUGAAGCUUCAUUUCCAUUAUACUAAAAUCAAUAUAUUUACAAAGAAGAAUGUAGAUAGAGAAAGAGAGAGCAAGAAAACUCUCAUGGAAAAACUAUGUAAUGAGUUCGUAAUCAAACUUAAAGGGAUUGUUC